UACGUAGGGGGCAAGCGUUGUCCGGAUUUAUUGGGCGUAAAGAGCGUGUAGGCGGCCAUACAGGUCAGCUGUGAAAACUCGAGGCUCAACCUCGAGACGUCGGUUGAAACCGUAUGGCUAGAGUCCGGAAGAGGAGAGUGGAAUUCCCGGUGUAGCGGUGAAAUGCGCAGAUAUCGGGAAGAACACCGGUGGCGAAGGCGGGUCACUGGCCCGGUACUGACGCUGAGGUGCGAAAGCGUGGGGAGCAAACAGG
rnacentral:rRNA from 1 species